CGAAUGCAGAGGUAAGGAGGCUGGCGGCUCAGCGGUGUACGCGCAAAUAAGUGUCCGUUUCCAGUUCCAUAGUUUGGGCGCUGAACACCGCUGGCAGUUUGGGACUUAAAAUGGCAAACGAACCAGCGUUCGUCAAUUAAGCUGCGGUUAACUGCAGCUUCUGGGUGGUCAAUUGACGGCACACUCCAGUUCCCAGGUGGUCGAUCGUUCGGUACUUUGUUCGGUAGAUUGAAU